AGUGAACGCUGGCGGUAGGCCUAACACAUGCAAGUCGAACGGCAGCACAGUAAGAGCUUGCUCUUACGGGUGGCGAGUGGCGGACGGGUGAGGAAUACAUCGGAAUCUACUUUUUCGUGGGGGAUAACGUAGGGAAACUUACGCUAAUACCGCAUACGACCUACGGGUGAAAGCAGGGGAUCUUCGGACCUUGCGCGAUUGAAUGAGCCGAUGUCGGAUUAGCUAGUUGGCGGGGUAAAGGCCCACCAAGGCGACGAUCCGUAGCUGGUCUGAGAGGAUGAUCAGCAACACUGGAACUGAGACACGGUCCAGACUCCUACGGGAGGCAGCAGUGGGGAAUAUUGGACAAUGGGCGCAAGCCUGAUCCAGCCAUACCGCGUGGGUGAAGAAGGCCUUCGGGUGGUAAAGCCCUUUUGUUGGGAAAGAAAAGCAGCAGGUUAAUACCCCGCUGUUCUGACGGUACCCAAAGAAUAAGCACCGGCUAACUUCGUG
rnacentral:rRNA from 1 species